GACGAACGCUGGCGGCGUGCUUAACACAUGCAAGUCGAACGGAAAGGCCCUGCUUUUGUGGGGUGCUCGAGUGGCGAACGGGUGAGUAACACGUGAGUAACCUGCCCUUGACUUUGGGAUAACUUCAGGAAACUGGGGCUAAUACCGGAUAGGAGCUCCUGCUGCAUGGUGGGGGGUGGAAAGUUUCGGCGGUUGGGGAUGGACUCGCGGCUUAUCAGCUUGUUGGUGGGGUAGUGGCUUACCAAGGCUUUGACGGGUAGCCGGCCUGAGAGGGUGACCGGCCACAGUGGGACUGAGAGACGGCCCAGACUCCGACGGGAGGCAGCAGUGGGGAAUAUUGCACAAUGGGCGGAAGCCGGAUGCAGCAACGCCGCGGGCGGGAGGACGGCCUUCGGGUUGUAAACCGCUUUCGCCUGGGACGAAGCGUGAGUGACGGUAAUGGGUAAAGAAGCACCGGCUAACUACGUG
rnacentral:rRNA from 1 species